GACGAACCGUGCGAACGUUAUUCGGAAUCACUGGGCUUAAAGCGCGUGUAGGCGGAUCGGAACGUCGAUGCCUGAAAUCCCCCGGCUCAACCGGGGAACGUGGCCCGAAACGACCGGUCUCGAGGGGUGUAGGGGGGACUGGAACUUCCGGUGGAGCGGUGAAAUGCGUUGAGAUCGGAAGGAACGCCCGUGGCGAAAGCGAGUCCCUGGACGCCUGCUGACGCUGAGACGCGAAAGCUAGGGGAGCGAACGGGAUUAGAUACCCCGGUAGUCCUAGCCGUAAACGAUGAGCACUGGGUAGGGGGUCCGCCCAUGGACUCCCUGCCGCAGGGAAACCGUGAAGUGCUCCGCCUGGGGAGUAUGGUCGCAAGGCUGAA
rnacentral:rRNA from 1 species